GAGGUGUUAGUAAAACAAUUACAUAGUCUUGUCAAGACUAAAUUACAGGUGAAACCCCAGUACACCUCA
rnacentral:tRNA from 1 species